rnacentral:rRNA from 1 species
CAAUAGCGUAUAUUUAAGUUGUUGCAGUUAAAAAGCUCGUAGUUGGAUUUCUGCUGAUCGCUGUCGGUCUGCCGUCAGGUGUGUACUGGCAGUGUUUGGCAUCUAUUCGAGAUUGGGUGUCCACUUGAUUGUGUGCACUCGAUGUCGGAGCUAAUACUUUGAGAAAAUUAGAGUGUUCCACGCAGGCGCGUGCCUUGAAUACCGCAGCAUGGGAUAUUGGAAGGCCGAUUGAGCUUUCUUGUUGGUUCUCGGUUUGAUCGGAAUGAUUAAUAGGGAUAGUUGGGGGCAUUCGUAUUCAACUGUCAGAGGUGAAAUUCUUGGAUUUGUUGAAGACGGACUACUGCGAAAGCAUCUGCCAUGGAUGUUCNCAUUG